rnacentral:ncRNA from 1 species
CCCUUGCUACGGUCGGGGGCAUCCCGACGAGACGCGCCGUACCGGGUCACGCAAAGACGACGCACC